rnacentral:lncRNA from 1 species
UUUGUCUCAAUGAUCUAUUAAUGCACUCAAACCACACUAAAUUAGCUUUGUAAGACACCUUGGUGCAGCAUGGUCUAAGUUGGCCUUGCUUGGCCUGGGGUAGCUGCCGUUGGCUGAGCCGUCACUCAUGGCUGUGCCAACCUACGACCAAUUCCCCUGAGCGCCAGGCUGUUUCCUGCCUCUGCACCAUCGCCCAAGCUUUCCCCUGCAGUAGGUCCUCCAGAGAUGCCAGCCAUCACCAUCACAGUGGUGAUUCUUGGUAUGACGACCCCUGCCCUCUUCAAAGCCCCGUUUAAGGAAUCUCCUCUCUGAAGCUGUCUCUGGUUCUCUCCAGCCAAGCAUCCACCCCCAGGCCUGGCCCUAUAAUUGUCUUUUCCUCAUCCACCUACUCCAUCUACAGUGGGAUCCAGAGGGAAGGGAAUCCCAGGGCCCAGCCCAGGGAGUGCGUGGGCUGAAGCAGCUGUGUUUGCCCUGCCUCACUGUCCAGCUCCCGGAAUAAGCAGAGUGACAUGCUCUGGGCCACAAACAGGGUGUGUGGCCGCCCUGACCACAUCACUGCAGCCACCUCCACAGCCACAGCCCUAGCCCUGUGGGUCAUGGGGAUGUGACCCUCCCCACUACCUCCCAUCACUGAGGACACACCUCCUGGGCCUCCAGUAACUACCCAGGCCUCCACACCUGCUAUGCCAUGAUGGUGCAGCCCGCCUCCCCCACGCCUUCAGCCCUGUGGAAAUUUUCUCUGGAGAUUCUAAUACCCCGGCCUCCUUGAGGUCAGUGUCUGCCCAGAGCCUCCCGGCAGGAGAGUAGAAACCCCACAGCUCUUAAGGGAAUGCCUGCCUGUCCGAAUGGACAAAGACAAGCUGUGCAGAAACCUCCCCUGGGAGGACUGAGCCAUCACCUGAGGAAUGGGAGUCUGUGGAAACGUGAAUCACCUCUGUGGGAAUAAAGCCUCUCAUCUGGACAUCGAAAU